UUCCGGAAAUGAAGGGGGCGCUAUUUUCAUAAUCACUAGUAUAAAUACCUUAAGACGCGGAGUUAAGAGGAACAGAAGAAGAAAGAAAGAAGUUUGAGAGGUUCUUCCACUGGUGUUCGGCGCACGAUCAACAAUGCAAAACUCACAAAGUCAACAAAAGAUCCACGUAUCUAUUUGCAACAUGAACAUAAAUAUUGCUGUUCCCUUUGCUAAUACAAGCUACAGAACCAUUUAGCACAAACUGCUAUAGUUCAACAUAACGAUGCCUCUGAAUGUUCUUGAAGCUGUUCUCCAGGAGGUGGCGCUAGCACAGGGAGACUCAGCUUACCUCACCUUGGCAUUGACCUGCAAGUGCUUUGAAGCCGUUGAGUCUGACCCAGUUUUCAGGAAGAAGACUCACUUUGCUUGGCUGGAUGGUGAGAUCAACUGGGGCAAAUUUUCAAAAACAUUCAAGGCAGAAAACCGGAUUCCUUUUGCGGUUGUAACAUGUUCUUCCUGCCACCGGUAAUAUAAAGACUGUGGGCUUCACCGGCGAUGGAAGACGAGGAGAGUACCCUGGUUACUGCUGUGAUGGCCGACCUGGACACUGCACUGACUGUCA